CCAUAUAAGCAGAGCAGGAGGAGCCCAGCCCCAAGCUGGGCCCAUUGCGGGCCAAGGGAUCCUCCGCCGGCAUCCCAGGACUUGUCACAGGUUCUGCCGUGGGUGAGAAGAUGCAGAUGGAGACGGAGAUGAAGAUGAAGACAGAGAUGAAGACGGAGACGAAGACAAAGAUGAAGACGGAGGCUGCAGCAAACAGCAGUGCCUGCACUCCAGAGCCCCCACGGAGUCCACCCAAGAAGAGUGGAGCAGCAGCAGCUGCCCUGCAGCCCAGCAGGACCUGCUUGGUGUCACUGUCCAGGAGCCAACCUGGUUUUGUGUCAGCACUUUCUGGGUUCAAGCCUGGUGUCAAACCAGAGAUGUGUGAAAUGCUUCCUGAGGAGGCAAACGUUGGUGGAGCUUGAAGAUGAUUAAGUUCUAACUCCCCUCCCCCCAGCCCAGGCUGCUCCAGGGCUCUUCUCAGUGUUAAACAGAAUCAAGCAGGCUGGAAGAGAGCUCCAAGCUCACCCCGUCCAACUCAGCACCCAGCCCUAGCCACUUAACCAGGUGAUGGCACUAAGUGCCUCAUCCAGGCUUUGUUUCAACAUCUCCAGCCACAGGCACUCCACCCCCUCUCUGGGGCUGCCACUUCUCUUAGUAACUGUCACUGAACCCACCUGGAGCUGCCCCUGCCUGCUCACUCCUGCCUCUUCUCAUUGCUGGAGGGGCACAAACACUUAAUUGAGCCAGUGUGGAAACCAGAACACGGAGUGAGCACUGUAAGCACCCAAAACAAUCAAUUGUGAUGCUCCCUCAGCCCCCAGCUCACUCUUCCCACCCCCUUGCUUUGUGCAUUGAGUUGAUGGAGAGCUCUAACCUAAGUGAUACACAGAGCAGUACUCCUUAAAACAUGCAGUUUAACUCUGGUCAGUAGGACAUCGAUUUCCACCUGGGCUUUAUUUUCUCACUAAGCUCAAGUUACAGAGCAUCUAUCGAGAGUCUAAAGUGUGAGUUGCAAACAGGUGUGAAGAUAAGCACUAAAACACAUUGUUAGCUGAAUAAAUGCUUCAGAAUCCCUGGCAUGCAGCAAGCCUCCUGUGAGCGUGCUCCACAGAAGGGCAAAUCAAAUCUACCUUAAAACAAAUCUCCUCUUGGAGGGUCACAAACCUUGCCCUGUGCAGCUCAGGUUUCAGCCAGUAGCAUGUUGAGAGAGAGAGAGAGGGGAACAAAACUCCCUCCAAGUAACAGCAACAUAACUGCACUGCCAAUUAAAGCUGAUCACUUCUCCUUGUUCAGUAGCACAGAACCACAGCAGCACAGAACGGUGGAGAGUGGAAGAGGUCUCAGAGGUUGUGCAGUUGAAGACCUCUGCUCGAGCAAGGUCAACUGCAGCAGGUUGUUUGGGGUUGUGUGGAGUCAGAUCUGGAGGCUCUCCAAGGAUGGAAACUCCACAACCUCUCUGAGAAAGCUUUCCCAGUAAUUGGACAUCCUCACAUUAAAAAACAAACAGGAACCCCUCAAACCCAAGCAGGAACCCCUCAAACCCAAACAGAAACCCCUCAAACCCAACAGAAACCCCUCAAACCCAAACAGAAACCCCUCAAACCCAAACAGAAACCCCUCAAACCCAACAGAAACCCCUCAAACCCAAACAGGAACCCCUCAAACCCAAACAGAAACCCCUCAGACCCAAUAGGAACCCCUCAAACCCAACAGAAACCCCUCAAACUCAAACAGGAACCCCUCAAA